AAGAAGAAGAGACAGACCUGAGCAAAUUCCUCUUUUAUUGCUCUCUUUGUGUAAAAGGAUUGUUAUCAAUCACGUUUAUAAAUCCAUAAAGGGUGCCAAAAAAUGAGAAUAUAGCUAUCAACAAUGAGCGGUUCCUGGUAUACAGGGUGUUGAAAAAGUCCCUUUACAACUUCAAAAUUUUAUUACAAAGGCAGUUAUUGAAAUAUUUUAACAAAAUUUCUUUUAUUGUAAUCACUGGUUACUAUGCUUCUGAUACUCUGUUGAUGGAAGGAACUGAACCUCUAUAAAAUGGCAACUCCUCAAGAGAAGGCACAAUGUGUGUCUUGGUUUAUUGAGACAAAAUCGGAUGUUCAGAUUCAAUGAAACUUCAGAGCAAAGUAUGGAAGAGAUCCUCCAUCGACCCCUUCAAUCCAUGUAGGGCACAAAAUAUUUGUGGAGACAGAGACAGUGUUGGAUAAAGGGAGGAGCAGGCGACCAAGAACAUUCCAGGAAAACAUCGAUGGGGUUUUAAAUGUCUUUACUCGUUCACCUACGAAGUCCAUCCACACUGCUGCCAGACAGUUGCAACUACCAUGUUCAACUGUGCAUAGGGUACUCCACAAGAACUUACGGUUGUAUGCUUACAAAGUGCAACUGUUACAGACACUUGAGCCAAAUGACAAGCCAAAAUGGACAGAGUUUGCACUGAACAUGCUGGAACGCCUUUCGAAGGGUGAAGCAUUCCUCAAGCAAGUUUGUUUCAGUGACAAGUCAACUUUUCAUGUUUCUGGGGCAUUAAACAGAUACAGAAUAUGUGGAUCUGAACAACCCCAAGUGACUAGGGAGCUUCACCGGGAUAGUCCAAAAUUGAAAGUGUGGUGUGGAAUCAUGUGCAACCAAAUAAUUGGUCCAUUUUUCUUCAACAAGUCAACAAUUACUCCAGAUGUUUACUUCAACCUUCUGACCGAAUAUGUAGCACCACAACUGAUUGACUUACAACCAACUAUCAUUUUCCAGCACGAUGGUGCACCACCACAUUGGGUACUGCAUGUUCGUCGGUCCCUCAAUGAAACAUUUCCAGGCAGAUGGACUGGGAGGGAUGGGUCAAUUCCUUGGCCACCAUGUUCAUCAUACAUCACUCCCUUGGACUUUUCUUUAUAGGGGUAUGUAAAAGAUAUCAUGUAUCAAACACAGAUACAGGACAUUGCUGACUUGAAGCAAAGGAUUCGUAAUGCUACUGCCACCAUUGAUGAUGCUAUGCUACAGCGAGCAUGGCAAGAAAUCGAGUACCGUCUUGAUGUGCUUCGUGCAACUAAAGGUGCCCAUAUAGAGAGGUCUAUUAAACACUGUCAAAAAAACUUUUAUAAACACUGGUUACAAUAAAAAAAACAUUGUUAAAAUAUUUAAACAACUGCCGUUUUGAAGUUGUAAAGGGACUUUAUGGGCACCCUGUAUUACGAAAAAAAUAUGACACUCUAUAGCCUCACAUAAACUAAAUGGCAUUCAGUGAUUGUGAGACAAAUCUUUAAAGAUCAAGGCAGCCAUCACAUCAUAAAACUCAAUAUGGUUUGUAUUAUGUUACACAGAAAACAACCUGCUGCAAUAACAACAUAUCCAAGAAUUAAAAAGGAUAAUUUUCAGUUAACUUUUACAUUUGUAACUAAUGUGCUGUUUCUGAAGUGUGAGCAUGAGAAGACAGAAUAUCACAAUGUCGAAGGAGAAGAGCAGUAAAACUUAUUUUCUUCAACAGUGGAUUUAUACUACUCUAACAACAGAUGAAAAUGUAGUACUGUGCCAAGUGUUUGAAAAACAUGUACAUUUUGUUUUUAUAUUUUCAGAAUAAGUUAGUGGGUAUUGUUUUUAUUUCACUAAAAAUAAACUUACAUCAUUUUUUUACCACUGUUAUAGGUGACCUAUGACAAAAAAUUCCAGAUUACACAACAUUUACAAACAAGUCACUGAAAUGCUGUUAAUAAAAAUGUCCCCAAGACCCAAACUACCUUACCAGCAGCAUUUUAUUUUAACAGGGGUGGAAAUCAAAGCAAUGAUAAUUUUUCGAAAGACAUCUGCACCAAGCAAAAAGUUCAUGAUGAAUCAACAAUGAGGAAAAACUACCAUGGCAAAGUUUACGAAGAGGUAAUACAAGAAAUCAACAGUGACUCAAACUUUUGGUGAUCUGUAGAUGAAACAACAGACUCAUGUGGGAGAUGUACUGCCUGCAUCAUCUUGUGAAAAAUGACGGAAUAUGAACCAGAAUUAACCUAUCACAUUGCCUCCAGAGUACUGGAAGAAAGAAACAGUUCAACGAUAGCUAGGGUUGUUUGUGAUGCAUUAUGCAUUUUGUGUCCUGCUACAGAAAGCGAGGAAAAAUUCUUGGUAAUAUUUACAGCAGCACACAUGAGAAAGCUGCUAAAGCUUUGCAGGUAUUUUAUCCUGGUACUUCACAGGACUUGUUUCACACAAUGUCUUCAUUGGCUGGCAUAGGAAAUUCGAGCAAAUUUUCUAGAAGAAAAAGCCUUAACUUUUUUGUGAAAAAAAGUUUUUGUGAAGGUGCCAGCAAGAGUGAAAUUAUUUACUGAUAUGGUGCAAGAUACUCAUUGACCCCCAGAGCCAAUCAUCACAAGCUGGAGAACAUGCACUGAAGUAGCUCUGUAUUAUAGUGAUCAUUUAGAAGCAGUGAAAAAGCGCUCAACAUGAUGAACAAAAAUGAAGCAGCAAGUAUCCCUGCUGCAGUUAAUGCUUCCAAUGAGAAGGGUCUCCAGAGUCAGUCAGUGCUUAUUAGGACCUGUUGUCAUCUGCAAUCACACGUUUGGAAGAAAAAGGAAUGCCUCUAUCUUCUGCCCUCCAGGUAUAUGAAACAGUUGUUACUGGAUAUGUAUGAGGAGACAUAGGAAAUUGCCUUUGUAGCAAAAUUGAGGAAAUUGAAGCACAGAAUACAGGUUUAAUGUUUCUUUGGGAUGUGAAUAAAGUGCUACAAGGAGACUCUGAAAAACAACUUCAUGCUUAUUCUCUAAGUGACAUAAGCUCUUUUGGUUCUGCCCUGUGACUUUGUGUGAAGUAGAGAGAUCUUUCUCUUCAUAUAAAAGCUUUUAAGUGGCAGAAAAAAGUCAUUUCUUCCACAAAACUGUGAAAAAUAUUUGUUUAUUGUAAUAAAAACAGCUAUGCUAAAAUAGACUGAGAGAAUAAUUAAUUUUGUUAAUGACUGAGUUUAAGAAUAAAUUUACAGUUUGAUUACUUCA